ACACUCAUGGUGAAGCGGUUAUCAUGCUUGCCUUCCAUGAAAAAUAGCAAAGCAAGCGGCAGGGGUUCGACUCCCCUUGAGUGUA